CCCAGACUCCUACGGGAGGCAGCAGUGGGGGAUAUUGCACAAUGGGGGGAACCCUGAUGCAGCGACGCCGCGUGGGUGAAGGAGCGUUUCGGCGCGUAAAGCCCUAUCGGCAGGGAAGAAGGAGGACGGUACCUGACUAAGAAGCCCCGGCUAACUACGUGCCAGCAGCCGCGGUAAUACGUAGGGGGCAAGCGUUAUCCGGAUUUACUGGGUGUAAAGGGGGCGCAGACGGCAGCGCAAGCCAGGAGUGAAAGCCCGGGGCCCAACCCCGGGACUGCUCUUGGAACUGCGCGGCUGGAGUGCAGGAGGGGCAGGCGGAAUUCCUGGUGUAGCGGUGAAAUGCGUAGAUAUCGGGAGGAACACCAGUGGCGAAGGCGGUUUACUGGACCACAACUGACGCUGAGACACGAAAGCGUGGGGAGCAAACAGGAUUAGAUACCCGAGUA
rnacentral:rRNA from 1 species